rnacentral:tRNA from 1 species
GCUUCUUGCGGACGGAUCGGGGCCUUGGGCGCUCUUACUGCCUGGCUUUCUACCAGGGGGAAGGUUCGUAGUCCUUCAGGAAGCA